GUGCGUUAUUUUUCACGUAUAAUAUCUAUAAAAUAUACGCCCGCCUGCAAUAAGCCACACAUGUACAUUUAAAUCGUGUUAUGGUAAAUAUCAUGACGAACGUCUCUAUGUAUAAUAAUAUAAUAAAUUAUAUGUUUCAAAAACACGUCGUAAGACCAACACCGCGUACUGACGAGCAAACGGACUCAGACGCCGUGGUCGACAGACGUACACCAGAUACCAGACCCUUGAACUGGAAAAAGAGUUCCACACC
rnacentral:misc_RNA from 1 species